rnacentral:piRNA from 1 species
UCCAUGACUCCCCGUGUCUGUUCCC